rnacentral:ncRNA from 1 species
AUUAUAAAAACUGAACAGACCGGUUUCUGCCGGUCGGGUCACAAACGUGACAGUGGAUUCCCACGGGACAGUC